GGGGAUUUAGCUCAGUGGUAGAGCGCUUGCCUAGCAAGCGAAAGGCCUGGGUGUCCCCA
rnacentral:tRNA from 1 species